UACGAAGGGGGCUAGCGUUGUUCGGAUUUACUGGGCGUAAAGCGCACGUAGGCGGAUUGUUAAGUCGGGGGUGAAAUCCUGGAGCUCAACUCCAGAAUUGCCUUCGAUACUGGCUUUCUAGAGGCUGGAAGAGGUUAGUGGAAUUCCCAGUGUAGAGGUGAAAUUCGUAGAUAUUGGGAAGAACACCGGUGGCGAAGGCGGCAUCCUGGACCGGCAUUGACGCUGAGGCGCGAAAGCUAGGGGAGCAAACGGG
rnacentral:rRNA from 1 species